rnacentral:rRNA from 1 species
UAAGUGGGAUAAGGCCCCCCGCAGACCACGGGAUCGAUAGACCAGACCUAGACGCACAGCAAUGUGUGAAGGGAACUGGCACUAACCGGCCGAAAACUUACAC